UUUCACUUUCACAUAAAAUAUGUAGCGUCCCCGAGUCUUCCCUCCCGUUCAGCAAGCUGACAGUCAGUGCGUGCUGAUAAGACCGGAAGGGAGAUAGUGGACGAGAAAACGAGCUGACCCAUUCAAGCAAAGAAUCCCUUCCGCGUAGAUGCAAUGCAGAUUUUCAACACUUGAUCUUGAUCCUUUUCCCAGAAAUGAGGAUGUGAUUUUUGCAGAGGAAACGCCAGUCACAAAAGGGACCAUUUGAUGCCUUAACCAGACACGUUCGGAGACAUAUUGGUUCCCCCGCAGUGCAUUUUCAAGCACUUUCCCUCUGCUUAUUGUUGCUUGGGAACAAGAAGACAGGUUUUGCUUACACUCUACUCUCACCUCAGCGUCACAACCUCUGUUCCCUCUCCAAAAACCGGAAAAGUUAAUUGGAGACUGUAAACUGUCCGUAGUGUGGUUGACUGGUGAUCAGUCCAGGGCGCACCAUCUCACCCCUCACCUCACUAAAAGCUAGGAUAGGCUCCAGCUCUGCCAUGAUCAAGAUAACUGAGUUUCAAGGCCCAAUGGUGGCAUGGAAUGCUGCACAGCGUCUUAAUAACUUGAGCAACACGACCAACGCGGAACAUCCUGUCGGUGGGAGCGAAGAGGAGCUCUUUGACAGGAGGACAAGAUCCACGGCCACAGUCUGAAGCUAACACGAUUCCAACACACUCCCCAUCUGUAUGAUAAUGAGACCUCGCGCAAGGGGGCGGGGGAAAAGAUCCAUUUUUCAGUCUUUUAUCCAUUGGUCAAUACAUCAUAUAAAUAUAUAAGCUUGUCCAUCUGGGAAAUAUGUUGGUGCUACCAAUAUAAUGUUUUUUGUUGUUUUUAAUGUGAAUGUUAAAAGGAUUGCAGAGAAAAAAAAUAUUAAAUUGUGUCAGCUGACAAAUAAUGAACCACGGACCAAACAUGCAUUUUGGUGGGUUUAUUCACCAGAAUUCUUAAACAACUACAUUUGCCACAAAAAGUGUUGUUCAACUGUCAAUUCAUAACCAAUUUUAUAUACACUUUAUUGAGAUCUAAUCUGCUUGUAAAGCGCUCUAAAAAAAAAAAAAAAUUCAAAAACCUCAAUCAAAGUUUUAUAUACACGUUGCAAGUAUAUAUGUUUUGUCGUAACAGGCACAUUCAUAAUACACAUGUAAUAAUUAAGUAUUUUACUAAUUUUAAGCAUACA